rnacentral:rRNA from 1 species
UACGGAGGGGGCUAGCGUUGUUCGGAAUUACUGGGCGUAAAGCGCGCGUAGGCGGACCUGCAAGUCGGGGGUGAAAGCCCGAGGCUCAACCUCGGAACUGCCUUCGAUACUGCGGGUCUCGAGUCCGGGAGAGGUAAGUGGAAUUCCUAGUGUAGAGGUGAAAUUCGUAGAUAUUAGGAAGAACACCAGUGGCGAAGGCGGCUCACUGGCUCGGUACUGACGCUGAGGCGCGAAAGCGUGGGGAGCAAACAGG